AUGGCGGCAGUAGCUCUUCUCCCGUCGCUGCUCCCGUCGCCGCCGAGGAGCGAGAUGCCGCCGCUGCUCCCGACGCCGCCCAGGAGCGAGAUGCUGCCGCUGUUGCCGACGCCGCACGGUGUCAUCCUCACCAUGCUGGUGUCCGCCAUGCCAGGCCGCGCCGACUUCGUCAAGAGGUGGGACUGGAACAAGAAACGCGACGAUAAUCCAUGCAGCUCAAUCUGCUCCUCGUCGUCGGAGGGCAGCGGGAGCGCCUGCCGUGCCGACUCCGUCGGCAGGUGGGACUCGCACAAGAAAUACAAGGCGCCCCGCACCACCAUGUCGUCAUCAUCGUCUUCGUCACAGGGCGCCGGGAGCCCCGGGCGUGCCGACUCCGUCGAACGCUGGGACAGCAAGAAACUGGAGAGCUCACCGCCCACGGAUCGCGGCCGCCAUGUCGGCAACGGCAACAAGCGCCUGCCUAGCCCUAGCCGCGCGUCUUCGGCGGACCGCUGGGACUUACACAAGAAGCCUCGCCCGGAGCAGAUGGAGAAGCCGCCUCAGACUAACGCGGCAGCGACGACGCCGGCGCUAGCCAUGAUGACACCGCACAAGGCCGUGUUCGCCGGGCCCAGCUUCUACGCCACGCCUGAUCCGAGCAUGCUCCCCAUGCCCUCCUUCUUUCUGCUGGCACGUCCGCGUGCACUCUGUACUCAGUAA
rnacentral:rRNA from 1 species